rnacentral:tRNA from 1 species
GGAGAGAUGGCUGAGUUGGUCGAAGGCGCUCGCCUGGAAAGCGGGUACAUGGGUAACUGUGUCGUGGGUUCGAAUCCCACUCUCUCCG